AAUCACUAACCACACAGCCAGG
rnacentral:ncRNA from 3 species